ACCGAAAUAGCUCAGUUGGGAGAGCGUUAGACUAUAGAUCUAAAGGUCUCUGGUUCGAUCCCAUGUUCCGGCA
rnacentral:tRNA from 1 species